UAAUGUUGGUACCCCAAAGUUAUAUAUCUUAAUAUCUUAGCUAAUUUACUUUCAGAACUUUAAAAAUAUUAUUAUUACUAUCAUCAUCUUUAUUAUUAUUUUAUCACUAUGCCAAGACUAUUUACUAUGGAUUUGCUGCCCCCUGGUUGGAAAACACUUAAUGUGAUUAGUCAAUGGUAUCCAAUGUAUAGUUAUUGGUAUUUAAUAUCCCCCACUGACUGAGAGCAUGGAAAUAGGCUAAUCAACUGGUGUGUUGUCAGAUCACAAGAGAGUUUAAAUCCUCAAUGGUUACUAUUGUAUUUUUAAGUAAUGUAUUUAUUCUUACAUAUCUUAGUUUACUUGGCUGUCAAAAAUCUGUACAAAAGCUGCUGGGAAUGUUAGCUAUGGUAUUUUUGUUUCAGAAAAAUAAACUAUCUAAGGGUGAUUACCAAAGUAGACCAUCAUCAUCAACAUCAUCAUUUAAUGUCCGUUGUCCAUGCUAGCAUGGGUUGGACAGUUUGACCGGGCUGGCAUGCUGGAAGGCUGCACCAGACUCCAGUCUGAUUUAGCAUGGUUUUCUAUGGCUGGAUGCCCUUCCUGACACCAACCACUCAGAGUGUAAUGGGUGCUUUUAUCUGCCACCAGCACAGGUGCCAUUUGCAUGACUUGGGGUGCUUUUACAUCUCACUAGCAUGGGUGCCAUUUGUGUGACAUCGGUAUCUGCCACAAUUGCGAUUUUGCUCAGCUUGAUGGGUCUUCUACUCAAGCACGACAUAAUGCCAAAGGUCUUGGUCAUUGCCUCCAUGUGGCUCAACACUUGAAAGGAACUUGGCCUCUUUGCCUCUAUGAGGCCCAAUGCUCGAAAGGAACUUGGCCACUUUGCCUCUGUGAGGCCCAACGCUUUAAAGGAACUCAGCCACUUUGCCUCCACGAGGCCCAACGCUCAAAAGGUGAUAUUAAUUUAGAUAAAUUAGGUAUAGAGUGAUGUACAGAAUGAUGUACGUAAAAACAUUCUCAAUUAGUUGAAUUAUGUCAUUUAGUUGAAGAAAGAAUGAAACAUAACCUAGUACUUACUGUUAGCUGUUCUUGUGGAAAAAGGGGAAAUAAUUUUGAGAAACUAAGAAUUAAUGUCAUGAAAAUAUCAAUUUGAAUACACCCUAGGUAAUUAAGUACUCUCUGCACUUACACAAUUGCUCCCCUCACCCACUUCUGGCCUUGCUGCUGGUAUUGAUCUACACCAUCCCCCCACCCCAGUGAUCUCUGUGCUUUGGCUAAGUACUCUUUACAUUGUCCUGUGUACAAAGCACUACCUCUCAUGUAAUGGUGCCACAACAGAAAGCCAACUAAUCAUGCACCCUCAUGAGUAACCUGGUGAGUGAGGCAAUCUCUCUGUUACUGGUACCACACUGUAAAGUGGUUGGCGAAUGAGCAGAGAAUGUGUAGGGUUCUGAGAUCCCUUUUAUUCAACCUCUUUAGUGUUGGUACCACAGGAAAACAUACCCAGUACACUGUAAAAGUUUUGAUGUAAAGUAGGAUCUUCAGCUGUAGAAAUCAAGCCAAAUGACAUGAAUACCUGUCUAUGGAUACCAUGACAUGAAUACCAGUCAUUUACCAAAAUGACAUGAAUACCAGUCAUUUUCAGCUUCCAAUAAGAAGUGACUUGGACCAUGACAACCUCUACAACCAAUGCCAGCAUGGAAAGUGGACAUAAGAUGAUGAUAAUGUUUGAGGGGGAGAAAAUCUGAUCUUUGUUACUAAGCAUGGUAACAGCUAUAAGCAUGUUUUUUGGUCUUAUUGGGCCUUGUCAGUGAAACUGAAAUUCAGGCCUGUUUGGUCAGUGGAUAGAGAUUUCACUUUUGGAGAAAUCAGUCAAAACAAAGAGUUCUAACCAGUAAUAAUUUGUAUUAUUUUAAAAAGUGAGCUAAGGAAAGUAACAAGGUGAUAUACUUACUGAAUAAUGUUUGCAGAAAAUUCACAUUCAACCUAAAUUUGUCCCUUAUUUGGAGAAAGAAAACAAGAUCCUGUGUUUAGCUAUGAUGUUUCAAUGGGGUUUCUGUACUGCAAAACAUGAUCUUUGGUAUAAGACCAGGUCCUUAAAAGAAUCUUUUGGUUUAGGGAAAUUGGUGAUGGAAUAAACCUUUCUUUAUCCAGGGAAAGAUUUAUUCCAUCUGGUUUUUAAAAGACACUUUUGGUUAAGACCUGGUUUUUAAAAGACCCUUUUGGUUAAGAAAUUUUUAUUUGAAAGUACCUUCAAGGCAAGUAAGUGGUCAACAGUUCCUUAUACUCUCUCAAUAGAAUUGUGUGGUUCACAACUAAAAUACUGAAUUUAUAAGUGGCCCUCUCCUAGCUAUAAUUAGAAUCAAAACAACUAGCACUAUAAAAUUGACAAGUGAUUUACUAGUUUGCAGUGCCAAGAACAAUUCCUUAGGAGUCUGAAAUUAUUCCACCAGUCAGAUUUAAACCAGAGUCCACAAUGUAAUCAUUUUGGUCUGCAUUGCCAUUGCAACUGAAUCUUGGUUCUGACUGUCAUCUGCUGGACAAUAACUGACUUUCAAGUGUAACUGUAUGAUUUAGAAAUUUGCUUUUCAGCUUUGUGUCCAGUCCCACUGUGUCUUCUAUUGUGGUCCUGAGUUGAUCAAAGCCUUGUGAGUGGAUUUGGCAGAUGGAAACUGAAAGAAGCCUGUCACACAUGUAUGCGGGUUUUUUUGUAUUUAUGUGUACCUUUGCCUUGCCAUCACAUGAUGGUUGUGAAUGAGGAUUGCUGUCAUGUUGUUGUUUGUUUCUUCUAUGAAAAUCAUGUCUGGCCAUGGAGAAAUUUUUUCAGUUUACUUGGCAACAAGAAAGGUAUCUGACCAUGAAGAAUCUGCCUCAUCAGAUUCCAUCUGACCCAUGCAAGCAUGGAAAAAAUGGACAUUAAAUGAUGAUGGUGAUCAAUAUUUAUUAUUAUUAUUAUUAUUAUUAUUAUUAUUAUGGUGGUGAGCUAGUAGAAUUGUUAUCACAUUGGACAAAAUGUUUAAUGAUAUUUCUCCUAGCUUUACAUUCUGAGUUCAAGUUCUGUCAAGGUUGACUUUGCUUUUCAUCCUUUUAGUGUUGUUAAAAUAAGUACCAGUCAAGCACUGGAGUCAAUAUAAUUGACUUCCCCUUCUCCUCAGAAACAGGUAGCUCUGUGCCAAAAUUUGAAACGGUUAUUAUUCAGAUUUCAGUAUUUGUACCCGUGUGAUCUGUUAGAAAUUUUCUAAAAUUAUAUAUUUCGGAGUUGUGUCACUUGUGACUUGAUCUGAGACCACAUAUUGAAACGAAAGCAACCACAGCUAUUUGAUCAGACACAAGGCUGUUAAAUUCACUUAAAAUUUAAAUUUAUUUCAUGAAGUGUCAAAAUUUCUGUUGGACAGCUUGAACCUGGUAUCGACACAGUUCCAGAUGUUGCAGUGAAGUUGUGUGUCAGUGGCUAGGUCACAGAUGGACAAUGAAUAUUACACUACUUCAAGGCACAAAACUUAAAGUGAAUUUAACAGCUUUGCAUGCUUAUUACAUGGCUAUUCCAUGACAAAACUGCUUACAUUAUACACCUGUCCUUAGAAUUUUACAGGAUUUGUUCUUUUAUGUUUUAUAUAUAGUCUGGUUCAAAUCCUGGAUAGGUCAAUUUUUGACACUUAACCAAAUCCAACAAAAUAAUAUACUGGAAUAUAGAACAAGUAAUAAAGUUAUAGUAAAGCAUUGUACUGGAGUCAGUUUAAUCCACUGUCUAAAUCCCCAUUGCUCUUUUUUUAAAUUUUUUUUUUUUACUUGCAAAUGUCGACUUUGUGCUUAGUCAAAAUAAAUCAAUAUUUUAGUAUUGUGUAUAAAAGAAAAAAAUGAGAGAAAAAACAUGGAAGGAAGAAAGAAGCUGUUGAAACCAAACAAAAAAAAAAGAAUGAUAAUAAUUACAGCGAUAAUAAUGUAAAGUCAUGUCAGUGCUUCAGGAGAUUUUUAACCAGUGUCUGUUAAAAUCAUGCUGAAGUACUACUGUGCUUAAGUAAAUUGAAUCUUCAACUCGUUUCUAUUAUAUUCUCAAGCAACAGCUGUUGGAGUCAUUUGCAUACUGCAAAUGGUUUAGUUCUGAUAUAGCUUAGCAUUUCAUUUUAGACUAAACUGGCUUUUAUUUUUUCUUUUAUUUUUCUCUGCUCCCUCCCCCUCACCUUUUCUCAAAAUAAGUUAACCAUCCACCUACAGGUAUCUUCCUCUUAGACAUUCUCAGACCCACAUUCUAUUGAAGUUGAAAUUGAAUCUGUUAAAAACAACAAAGCACUUAUCACUCUCUUGAACAAUACACUGGAAUUGCAGACAUUAGUUGCUAUUCAAGAGUGUCUCCACCUUACAGCCUCAAUACAGAGACCAACCUUUUUUCAAAUACCAUAUGACUUGAUGUGGGUAUAUGAUGGCUAGAAUUUCUCUAAAUGUUUGGUUUGCUAUGAUGGUAUUUGCUGCAGAACUUCUUCUUGUGAUAUCUCCGUCAUAGGCAGACGUGUAACAUUUUUGUUUAAGAAUUAAGUUAAAUUCUGAGAAUGUAUUUUUACUGAUUAAUGUGAGUAAAAAGUGUCAAGGAAAAGACAAAGAAAAAAUUUAAUGAUAAAUAAAUGAAUAAGAAAAC